AAACUUUCAACAACGGAUCUCUUGGCUCUGGCAUCGAUGAAGAACGCAGCGAAAUGCGAUAAGUAAUGUGAAUUGCAAAAUUUAGUGAAUCAUCGAAUCUUUGA
rnacentral:rRNA from 1 species